GGCCAUAUAGCGUUGAAACAUCGGUUCCCGUACGAUUACCAAAAUUAAGCAACGCCGAGCCAGAUCAGUACCUAGAUGGGUGACUACUUGCGAAUACCAGGUGCUGUAA